AAAUAUCUCUUUUGUGGUAUUUCUGGAUCCUUCCCAAGGCAGUAAUGGUAUAUGCCUUCUCUCAAAGUAUGUGGUAUUUUUGGUAUGAGGCAUAGUGAUAUUGCCUUCUCUCUCACCCUACUCUAAUAAGGUUUUGAUAUCUGGAGCUCAUAGGUGGGAGACAGAUAAUACAUACUUACAAGACAUUUAUUGCAUAGUAAAACCAUGGAUCCAGAGAAACAAGUCAAUAAGUCAAAUCAAGAUGUGCAUGUGUGGCGAAUGUAUGGUGUAUGGUGAUGAUGGUGAUAACAAUGGUGAAAGUCUAAUUCUACUUUUACUCAUUUAAGGGAAUACAUACCUUUCUUGAACUUUGAAGCUUUUUGGGGAGAAUGAGAUGCUCUAUACUUUCUUUUUUUUUCUCUCAGGUGGGUAUCUUGUACCUCUAAUUCUACUGUCGGACACUUGUCCAUUUUUACCUCUCGUCUCACUUUUCCUUUUCUUUCGAGGUUCCGGGCACUUGCCCCUUUUUAUUUCCUCGUAUUUUUCCUUCUCUUUUUUUAGAGCACUCAUCUCCUGAAAUAAUAUAGCAAGUGGUAGUAACCAAGAUAGCUCGAGCAUUUAUUUCACAGGGAAAAACAGAAAUAGGAGAAUGUUUUUGCUAUUCUCUCCCGGAUUAGGAGAAGAAUACUUUUAGGUAAAUUUGGAGAUGGAAUUGAGUGGAUGUAUGUGGAUGCGUACUUUCGGAGUAGAAGUAGCAUGUAUGAGUGAACGUGCAAGUGGAUCUUGAUUUUAACUGCAUGACAAGCUCCUAAGGGUCU
rnacentral:lncRNA from 1 species